UUCCAAUGAUGAGAUCGAUGGAAAAUGUGUUAGGGUAUGAACAUUGAUGAUUUACUAUACCAUACUGCCUUCCUUCUGAGGAA
rnacentral:snoRNA from 14 species